rnacentral:rRNA from 1 species
UACGAAGGGGGCUAGCGUUGCUCGGAAUGACUGGGCGUAAAGCGCGUGUAGGCGGACCGACAAGUCAGGUGUGAAAUCCCCGAGCUCAACUCGGGAACCGCACUUGAAACUGUCGGCCUUGAGUGCCGGAGAGGGUGGCGGAAUUCCUGGUGUAGAGGUGAAAUUCGUAGAUAUCAGGAGGAACACCAGUGGCGAAGGCGGCGAUCUGGGAAGAUACUGACGCUGAGGUGCGAAAGCGUGGGGAGCAAACAGG